rnacentral:rRNA from 1 species
UGUGUAGGUGGCCGAAUAAGUCGAAUGUGAAAUCCCUUGGCUUAACCAAGGAACUGCAUUCGAAACUGCUCGGCUUGAGCGUUAGAGAGGAAGAUGGAAUUCACGGUGUAACAGUGAAAUGUGUAGAUAUCGUGAGGAACACCAGUGGCGAAGGCGAUCUUCUGGCUGACUGCUGACACUGAAACACGAGAGCAAGGGGAGCAAACA